UCUUGUGUGUGUGUGUUUCCUGUUUUAACCUUGUAAAUAACUCUCAUUUCUUUUCUUAGUUAAAAAAUCUUUAGUUAGUUUAUUACAGGAUUGGCUACGGGCAUUGUCUUUGAUUUGAGAUCUGAGUACAAUCAAUCUAUGGUGACA